rnacentral:rRNA from 1 species
UACGGAGGAUGCGAGCGUUAUCCGGAUUUAUUGGGUUUAAAGGGUGCGUAGGCGGUUUUUUAAGUCUGAUGUGAAAGCCUUCGGCUUAACCGGAGUAGUGCAUUGGAAACUGGGAGACUUGAGUGCAGAAGAGGAGAGUGGAACUCCAUGUGUAGCGGUGAAAUGCGUAGAUAUAUGGAAGAACACCAGUGGCGAAGGCGGCUGUCUGGUCUGCAACUGACGCUGAGGCUCGAAAGCAUGGGUAGCGAACAGG